rnacentral:rRNA from 1 species
UACGUAGGCAGCAAGCGUUGUUCGGAGUUACUGGGCGUAAAGGGUGCGUAGGCGGCUUUUUAAGUUUGGUGUGAAAUCUCCUGGCUCAACUGGGAGGGUGGUCGCGAGACGGCUGGGCUUGAGGCUCGGUGAGGGGCGUGGAAUUCCGGGUGGAGCGGUGAAAUGCGUAGAGAUCCGGAGGAACACCGACGGCGUAGGCAGCGCCCUAGACGAGACCUGACGCUCAGGCACGAAAGCGCGGGGAGCGAACAGG